GUACUGUUCCCCAUGGCUUGGAUGAAUGUUCUGCCACAUUUGUCAGCCAUCGAAUUCCAUUCGGCCUGAGCUAUGGGCAUUGGGGUCAAUUUCCUUGCCUCCAAUUUACAUAACCCUUUGAGGAGAAUGACAGGAAGUGGCAUCUAUGCACCAGAUUUUCCAAGAACAUUUCAUUACGAUAUGAAGACCCAGGAGGGAAAACUCCUGUCCCAGCUGGAUUCCCAUCCAUACCGCCCCGUAGUGAAUUGGACUUCUUAUGCCAGCAGUAUAGAAGCCCUCUGGACAGGGAACCGGGAAUUUAAAGGAACUGUCUUUUUUGACGAAUACAUCUUUGUGGAGCUGAAAGGAAUCACAGGAAAUUACACAGUUUGCCAGAAAGAUCUUUGCUGUCAUCUAAGCUACCAGAUGUCUGAGAAGAGGUCAGAUGAAGUUUAUGCCUUAGGAGCAUUUGAUGGGCUGCAUACUGCUGAAGGACGCUAUCAUCUACAGAUUUGCACCCCGCUGAAGUGUAAAACCCCUGAUAUACAGAGCUGUGGUGGCUCAGUUGACACCGCUGCUACCAGGUUCGAGAUGUUCUCCCUCAGUGGUACUUAUGGGACCCAGUAUGUCUUUCCUGAGGUUUUGCUGAGCAAAGUUCAGCUUGCACCCAGAGAAUUUCAGGUAAGUCUUUUCUUGAUAUGACAAAUUAAUUUCAUAAAAGUAGAAGCACUUCUUGACAUCAAAACCUCACCCAAGUGCUUCCAAGUAUUGUAAAAAUCUCCAAUUGGAAAGGAUCAGAUUAUCUUUGUGGAUGAGGAAGAACACUGAGCAGGCUAAACUUCUUGCCUAGAAGUCACUAAUAUGAUAGUGUGUCCUUGGAUAUAAAGAAAUGAAUCUUAUUUAAGCCGUAGGGAGGAGGUUGAGCUGCUCAUGGUCUAUCAAGUAGGAAGAAGAUUUGAGGCUAGUUCAGGACCAGUCUCUGCAGAGAAUCCUAUUAGAACCAUGAGGGGGAGGCAGGUGGCCUGGAGAAGAUAAAGGGAUCCCUUUCCUCAUGUGGGUGGAGGCCCCAUGUGACCAUAGGGGAAAAGGAGAGAAGGAGGAGCUGAAGGAGAGAAUUCGAUAGUAGCUGGUGUUGACAAGAAAACACAAACUGUAAACCCCAGAAGUAAACGCUUGUCUCACGUGGGCUCUUCCCAGCCACAUCCUUCCACUGAGCUCUGCAGAUUCUGCUCCCAUUCCUCUUCUCUGUCAGAAACCACUGCCGGGCCUGGGGACCAUGGGAAGCCUGGGAGGCGAGCAGUGAGUGACAGGAGGAGGCGACAGAUGCUCAGUUCAGACCACCCCUCCAUCAUUCACUUCUGGUCAUUUGGUGGAGACUAAAAAAUAAUUUAUCUGAAAGAGUUAGAUUUCUGGAAUAUCAGUUACAAGCAUUUCUGUACUAAUCAAUCAAUGCCAGUCCCAUAACUUCAGUUUUUCAAAGUAUGCUCUGUGUUUUUCAAGUAUUUCUAAAAUUGCUGUGUAUGGUGUGUGUGUGUGUGUGUGUGUGUGUGUGUGUGUGUGUGUGUGUGUGGUGCUGGGCAUGGAAUCCAGGCUUUGUGCUUGCUUGGCAAGCACUGAGCUACAGCUACAGCCCUUCAAAUAUUUCUAACAGGUCAGAAUUUGGCCAGCAUUUGUCACUGGCUUUUCUUCAUCUUACAAGGACAGUGUCAUCGGACUGUGUAUCUUAAAGGUCCACUUCUCUGUGUCGCACUUAAGUGAUGAGUGAUGAGUGCUUGCUGAGCCUGCAGCCAACAUCCAGACCUGUCUUGACAGUCACACUGUUUGGGAGGUUGUAUGACAAGGACGGGGCCUCAAAUGCCUCACCCAACCUCGCAGCCCACUCACUAAGAGUACUGUUAAUACUGAUAAUACCCAUUGUAUAUUCAUUAUGUUGGUAGGAUAUUUACAUUUAUCUUUUAUUUGGGAUAAUUUAAAAAUGAUAGAUGAGUAAAGGAUUAGUCUGGGCUUUUGCUAAUAAUAAACUCUAAUAUAAAUGAAUGAUUAAUACACAUUUCUCUUUAUGUAGAUAAACAGACAUGGCAGCAAUAUAAGCUUAAUAUAAUAUAUAUUAAGGUAAAUUUUUAAAACUGUGGUAGAGAAUUUGUCUUGGAACUGAGGUAUUUGUACCAAUUGAGUAUCAAACAUGUAUUAUGCAGAAGAAAUAAAAAUUUCAGUUAAAAAGCACAUCAAAAAUUACCAUAAUAUACUUACAAGAAGCCUAAAUCCAUUAUCACUUUUAUUUGCUCUCUUAUUCAGUUCUGCUUAAGAUUUCCAGAGACCAUUUCCUCUGUUAAUGAUUUACCUGAACAAUACAUUUCAAUCCUCUUAUGGGCCAAAUAGUGUCCCCUGGAUUAGUUAGUUGAAAGCCUUAGCUCCCAGUACCUCCGAAUGUGACUGAUUUGCAGAGUAUUUGAAGAGAUAAAAUGAGGUCACGAGGGUGAUCCUAAGUCAGUGUGACUGAUGUCCUCAUGAGAAGAGGGAAUUCAGACGCCAUGUACAGAAUGGAGACUGCAUAAUCCCAUAGAGGAGACUGCUGGCUACAAGCCAAGGAGAGACAUCUUAGGAGAAUCCAAACCUAGCAACCUGUGGAUCUUGAACUUCUAGCCCCCAGAAUCACGAGACAAUAAAUUUCUGUUGUCCAAGUUAUUGGAUCAGUGGCACUUUGUUAAGGCAGUCGUGGCAAACUAAUACGAAGUUCUGUCUUCCCUUCCUGCUUGUCUUUCACCGUCCUCCACCAUAGCCAAACGCUUGCUUAGUAGGAACAUCCAGCUCGCCCGAGUGUCCAUGACUCCAACAGAGACUUCCGGGGGAGAACUGCUGAAGCCUUGAUAGUGAAACCACCAGAGCACUGGAUGUCCUUAGGAGUUAGGAACUGGAAAGUCACAGUGUUGAUAGUAAGUAUUAAAUGGAGCAUCACAUGUCCUUUUUCAGUAACAGCAGAAUCUCUCGGCGUUGUGCAGCUUAGUGAAAUAUCCUUGGCAUCAUACAUCCCUCAACUGAUACUACCCCCGUGGCACAGAUGUCUGUCACACCCUCUAUGCAACGUGCCUUUCUCCAAGAGCAGUAGGGUACUUCAGAGUGACCUGUAUCACCAGCCCACUGUUUGGCAAGACAUGCCUUUUGUGGCAGACACAGUUGUUGAUAAUGCUAUCUCAUCCAAAACAUAUUUAAGUAAAGGCCAUCUUGUGCUUUUGUGUGGCAUUAACUAAUUUUCUAAGAAAAUAAGAAAGGCCACUAGGUGUAUAGAAAAAGAGUUACUCAGGGCCAGGGAUUUAGCUCAGCAGUGCCGCAGCUGCCUGGCAAGUGCAAGGUCCUGAGUUCGAUUUCUGGUACUGGGAAAAGAAAAAAAAAGAGUUAAUCAGGGUAAGCCUUAGUAAUGUCAUCUAAUAUUAAUUAAAAACAGAAAACAUGCUGAUUGUCAAUGAUAGGCUUAAAAUAUUAAGAGCUUCAAAUAAUCAAGUGCUUCUUUUCUAUCCAACAUCAGCUGUAUUUGUCACCCACUGUGGCAAAAUAAAUUACUCUCACAUUGUUAUCUUAAAACAAUAACAGUAGGAUCUGGAAGGGGCUCAUCUGGGUUUCUCUGGCUCAGGGUGCCUUGGAAGCCACAGUUGAGCUGUGACCAGGGCUGCCGCCAUCUCGAGGUUCUGCUGGGGCUGGAGAAUCUGCUGUAACCUCACUCACAUGGUGAUGGUGGCCCCAGGUCCUUGCUGCAAGUUGGCCACUGGUCUCUCUUCCUUCCAUAUGGGCCUCCCUGUAAGUUGCUGGAAGGUUUUCACAGAACGGUAGCUGGCUUCUCCCAGAGUGGAGAGAGAGAGAGCAAGAAGGAGAGAGACUGGGUGGAAGUCACAGUGUUUUAUAACCCAAUCACAGACGUGACGUCGCUUCUGACCUUUGCCAGUGGUCACGCAGGCCAGCCAGGAAACAGUGUGAGAGAGAAUGAUGCAAAGGUGAGGAGGCUCAGGGAGGUGGAGUCCCUGUGGGCUGUCACACUGCCAGCUCCUACAGUGAAUGCGUGACUUUGUUUAUAUAUGUCUGUAUCUACUACAUAAUUUUAAAAGAUGCAGUUCUUUCCCUUUUCUUUUUGCUAUGCACUGUAUAUCUCAAAAUAUACUAACAUUUGUAUCCUAAAAGUACUAUGCCAAAGAACUUUCUGGGAUUACAUUAGAUAAUUAAAUUAGAUAAUUAACGAUCUGUACUUUUGACCCAUAGUAAAAUUUUAAGUUCCAGAAUCAAUUCAUAAAAUGUUAUCACUGGAGAAAAGGGCCCUAAAAACCUUAUCAUAUUUACUGUAUUGGCUGAGUUUUUUUUAAAGUAAGAUUUUCUCCAGAACAAUCUCUAAAAUAUAUAUUUUUAAAAAUUAAAAAAUGGCUCAAAUGAUUGCAGUGUUCUGGAUAUCAAAAAGAAUACUGAAAAAAUUCAAUUAAAAAAUCAUGUCAAUGCCAAGAGCUGCCCUAAAAUACCUCUCUUGGUGCUUAUAUGAAGACUCACAGCUCAUCCCUCACAUUGUAUCUGUUUCUCUAAUCUGUGGAUGUUCUGGGCAUUUUCCUUAUUCUCUGCCUCACUUUCAUGUGUGUUUCUGGAAAGACUGUGAAAUUCUUAGAUGAGGAAUAUAUCCUGCAUCUAUUACUAAUUCUGAGGCAGCACGCACUAGUAUAGCGUAGGAUUAUUGCUUGGAGUACUGAGAGUGCAGAAAUAAAUCUGUGUUUAAUAAUAUUCAUACCUGUAUGCAAGUGGUAUAAUUAAAGUGAAAUUGAGAAAAAUAGUAAGUAUAGGACAUGGUAACUCUAAAGAGUACUUACAUAUGAUGACAAAUAUCACUGGAACUUAAAAUACAAGGAAGGCAACCUAUAAAU
rnacentral:lncRNA from 1 species